AGAGUUUGAUUCCUGGGCUCAGAACGAACGCCUGGGCGGGCAUGCCUAACACAUGCAAGUUCGAACGCGUGGCUUCGGCCACGAGUGGCGCACGGGGUGAGUAGCGCGUGGGAACCUGCCCUUUGGUUCGGAAUAACCGCGGGAAACUGCGGCUAAUACCGGAUGUACCCUACGGGGGAAAGAUUUAUUAUCCCCAAGGAAGGGCCCCCCUUCCAAUAAGUUAUUGGUUAAGUUACCGCCCCCCCAAGCCUGUAAUCGGUACCUGGUCUGAAAGGAUGAUCAGCCCACACUGGGGACUGAGACACGGGCCCAGGCUCCUACGGGGAGGCAGCAGUGGGGGAAUAUUGGACAAUGGGGGCAACCCUGAUCCAGCAAUGCCGCGUGAGUGAUGAACGGCCUUCGGGUUGUAAAGCUCCUUCGCCCACGACGAUGGUGACCGU
rnacentral:rRNA from 1 species